rnacentral:rRNA from 1 species
UACGGAGGGUGCAAGCGUUAUCCGGAUUCACUGGGUUUAAAGGGUGCGUAGGUGGGUUGGUAAGUCAGUGGUGAAAUCCCCGAGCUUAACUUGGGAACUGCCAUUGAUACUAUCAAUCUUGAAUACCGUGGAGGUCAGCGGAAUAUGUCAUGUAGCGGUGAAAUGCUUAGAUAUGACAUAGAACACCAAUUGCGAAGGCAGCUGGCUACACGAAUAUUGACACUGAGGCACGAAAGCGUGGGGAGCAAACAGG